rnacentral:rRNA from 1 species
CACGUAGGGUGCGAGCGUUGUCCGGAAUUAUUGGGCGUAAAGAGCUCGUAGGCGGUGUGUCGCGUCGGCCGUGAAAACCUGCAGCUUAACUGUGGGCGUGCGGUCGAUACGGGCAUCACUGGAGUUCGGCAGGGGAGACUGGAAUUCCUGGUGUAGCGGUGAAAUGCGCAGAUAUCAGGAAGAACACCGAUGGCGAAGGCAGCUCUCUGGGACGGUACUGACGCUGAGACGCGAAAGCGUGGGGAGCGAACAGG